rnacentral:lncRNA from 1 species
AGCAAAAGCAAUACUUAUUAUAACAAUGACAAAUCAUACAACCAUCAGUAAAAGAUUGAUAUUGAGAAAUUGGUAAAUAUUCCCUUUGUUCAUAGUUGCCAGCCGACAAUUAACAAUACUGUCAAUACAUGAAUAGCAAUAGAAUCUUUGAUACAUUUGGAAUGCCAAAACCACAUUCCUCACUCAACUAAACUAUGAUGUUGCUCAAUUGUGUCGUUCCAGAAAUGUCCUUAUAACCGCAUUUAGUUUAAGCUAAACGGCUUAAACUGUGAUUUGUACUAGAUGUUCACGUAAUAAUUAGUUAAAACUUACAGGGAGUGAAACCGUUAAGUAGAGCAGCAGCCAACUUUCUUCAACGCUGACACAUCAUCCUUACUGCCAACGUUAAUUGUCUGUCCCUUUGGCAAAGCAGCCUGAUCAUCUCCGGCAUCAAGAGCCUUUCGGCUAACAACCUGGUGGAUUUGAGUAAGAACUUCGGUGAAAGCGUUUUCAACGUUUGAUGAUUCAAGUGCGGAUGUUUCCAUGAAAUACAUGUUUUCUUUUUCAGCAAAGGUUUUGGCAUCUUCAGAGGUUACAGCGCGUAAGUGACGUAAAUCAGAUUUGUUUCCUACAAGCAUCAUGACGAUGUUGGAAUCCGUAUGGUCACGAAGCUCCUUUAGCCACCUUUCCACAUUUUCAAAGGUCACAUGACGUGUUACAUCGUAGACAAGCAAUGCCCCAACUGCACCUCGGUAGUAUGCACUUGUGAUUGCACGGAGUGUACCGUUCCUGGCCAGCAGUGUCCCAAAUCUGGGCCUUGACAACCUUUUCAUCGACUUUAAUGCUGCGAGUGGCGAAUUCGACGCCGAUGGUUGACUUAGACUCGAGACUGAACUCGUUUCGGGUGAACCUGGAGAGGAGAUUGGAUUUGCCGACACCGGAAUCACCGAUGAGAACUAGUUUGAACAAGUAAUCGUAAUCAUCGUCUGCUCUGUAUGCACCCAUUUGCUCUGUAGUUGUUGAGAAAGAGUUUGCAGAUCUGUUGUUGAAAAUGGGGAAUAUUAUAAUUUUACAGAUCUGUCUAUCUAUCUAUAUAAGAGAGAGAAAGUGUAUCAAGUGCAGAGCAAGGAAAAGCAUCGAGAUUUCAAAGGGUU